GAAGAGGUAGCUCAGUGGUAGAGUGCCUGCCUAGCGAGUACAGUGUCCUGGGUUCAAUCCCCAGCACCUCCA
rnacentral:tRNA from 1 species